rnacentral:rRNA from 1 species
GACGAACGCUGGCGGCGUGCUUAACACAUGCAAGUCGAACGGAAAGGCCCUGCUUUUGUGGGGUGCUCGAGUGGCGAACGGGUGAGUAACACGUGAGUAACCUGCCCUUGACUUUGGGAUAACUUCAGGAAACUGGGGCUAAUACCGGAUAGGAGCUCCUGCUGCAUGGUGGGGGUUGGAAAGUUUCGGCGGUUGGGGAUGGACUCGCGGCUUAUCAGCUUGUUGGUGGGGUAGUGGCUUACCAAGGCUUUGACGGGUAGCCGGCCUGAGAGGGUGACCGGCCACAUUGGGACUGAGAUACGGCCCAGACUCCUACGGGAGGCAGCAGUGGGGAAUAUUGCACAAUGGGCAGAAGCCUGAUGCAGCAACGCCGCGUGCGGGAUGACGGCCUUCGGGUUGUAAACCGCUUUCGCCUGUGACGAAGCGUGCGUGACGGUAAUGGGUAAAGAAGCACCGGCUAACUACGUG